rnacentral:lncRNA from 10 species
UUUUUUUUUUUUUUUUUUUUAACAAAACUAACACUAAUUGGUAGAAGCCAAAAUAGUGCUUCUCUUUGGUGGGGGGCAGUGACCAAGAGAGGGCACAAAGAAACCCUCUGGGCUGUUGGCAAUGCUCCAUAUGAUGAACUUGGUGGGGGUGUGUGGCUGCUUACAUAGGUAGAAUCUGGAGCUGUGCACUUAGGGUUGAUGUCCUUCACUGUGUGUAUGUUAUCCUUCAAUGAAAAAAAGGGGAGAGUUAUGUAUUUAUUAAUAUUUCAGUGAGAAAACUGGAUAUUGAAUAUACCAUUGAAUAUUUUAUUUUCUUUAGAAAAUACUACCUAUUAUAUAAAUCAGAACAGUUGAUAGCUGAAUAGAGAGUAAACCUCACACAGAUGGGGAGGGAGCCCUAUCCUCUACCUUAACUUAGUAAGUUUUGGUGAACUGUGAAAUUGUCCUCUUUGUGCUUCUGUUUGGAAAGUCUGCUUUAUGGUGGUUCAUACUGGACAAUCUUCAUUACAGGUCUGAUGAUUAUAGUACUUUUUUUUCAGUGCUUUCCACAUGGCCAGGCCCUGAGCUGAACACUUUGUAAACAUUAUUUCACCUAAUCUUUGCAACAGCCUUAUAAGGUAGAUGCUGUUUUUAUUCCCAAUUUACACAUGAGAAAACCAAGGCUUAAAUCACUUCCCUGAGGCCACAUGGUUGAUAAAUUGCAGAGCCAAGAUCAGACCGGUUUCCUUGUGACUCUAGAGCUGUCCUGCAGAUGUUCUUCUUUUUAUAUAAAACAAGAUCAAGUCUAGACUAUGACUGUGCAUCAAAACUCAGAUCCUCAUUCAGUCUAUGGUAUUGGAAGCAUUAAAAGAAAACCACCCCUCUUUCAUCUUUUUGUUCUUUUUUUCUCCUUAAUAUCUAGCUUUUAUUUUUAGCUUUUAAUUGUUUAUAAGAGAGGAACCACUGGAAAGAGUUUAAAAUCCUUGUUCCAUUUUCAGGUUGGGAAGUGUACGUGUGUGGGGGUGGGUAUUAAACAAGACUUGAGCAUUAAGCAUUUCCCCUCCUGAGCCCAGCUCCUUUCCUCACUUGUUGACUAAGCCCUGCUUCACUGAGCAUUUUCUUUUUUUCUGCCCACAACCUGAGUGCCCCAUGGAGGUGAAGGACAUAGCCUGAGUCUGAGCCAUCAGUCAGUAGAACAAAUGGGCUUGCUCUGCCUAACAUCGGGCCAUCUCGGAUUCCACCUCUUUUAUAGGAAUGAGUGAUGAAGAGAGGUGGGUUCCGCUUUGCCGCUGUAUUAAUACACAUCAGGGGCCAGCUCCUAGCACUAAAUCACGCUACGGCAUACAUCUGUUAUCGGACUCUUCACCAGUGUGAUGAACAAGACUGCAGAUAGAGGCUUCCUUGUGUCAUUCUUUAUAGGAUUUUCCUAAAAGAAUAAAUAGCUCAGAUCUCUGCCAACACUCUCCCCUGUCACUGUGAUGAAUUCAGCUUCUUUCUUAAACAUGCAGCCACAAAUCUUUUCCCUUUUUCCCCUCCCCCAGUGGUAGAAAGUUUUGAGUUGCAAUUGACUGAAUUUAAAGAUAUUAAUAAGGCUAGAGAGGUGAAGAGCAGGAAGAAACAGCAUGUCUUCCUUGCCUUUUUGUACUAAUAGUAACAAAAGGCCAAGGAAAAAGACUGUAAAUGACCAUAGGUUGUUAAAUAGACCCAUCUUGAAAGUGUAGCACCUUUAUUUUCUUUGUAUCUUCAUUCUCCCUCCUUUACGGCUUUCUAGCAUGCAGGUGUCUAGUGCACAGAACCACACCCUGGAUCUUAGUGAGCAAGCAUGCUAACCUGCUUCUCAGACUUGAUACACCAGAACAGGGAUUUCCCUGCAAGUGUCUCCCUCAUGCUGAAGUGAACUAGCUGAAUAUGCUCUUAAAGAAAGUAGUCAGAAAAGAAAAAAAAGAUUAUCUUCUCCAAAAUUUGAGACCAAGUAGCUGUAAAAAACAUAAUAAACCCAGAUGAAAACCAGGCUUCGUUUUCUUGAAAUGAUUUUCUUCAUCAGAAUGGUAGAUCAGAGCCAUUGGUGUGCAGAUUCCAAUCCUUUAAAAAGUAAACACAUGCCUUUUGAUAAAGCGGAAUUGAGGUGAUCAGAAAUUCUGUUGAGAACCCAGCUAUUUGUGUGAGUAUAUUUUAGCUAUCCCAAAAACUUUUUCUGACCUUUCUCUUUCUGGGAUAGGAUAUGUGUGCUUAGAGUAUCAUUCAGAAGGGUACCUAAUAGUUAAUCUGUUAAUUAGUUACAUCAGGUUUCAAAUACUAGGUCAGUGAUAUGAGAGCGAGAGAGAGAGAUUUGAAUUGUCAAAUGUAUUGUCAGAUGCAUUCACAAGAGCAGGACUGCUUAUCUGUUUUGUUCACUACUGUACCCCUAGCAUCUAAAUGAAUACCUAGCCCAUAGAAUAAACCCACUGGUUAUUUGUUGUAAGAAUAAAUUAAUAGAAUCUUAAAGUUGAAACAGAGUGAUUCCUAAUAUAUUGUAACCACAUGGUUGGAUUCAGUAGUUCCAUUUUAGGAUGUCCCUUUUCUCAGGAGUCAUAGGGCAAAUUCUUAUUGCCCACUGUGUCUUUUUAAAGUUUAAAUGUUUUUUAAAAUUAAACAUGUUUCUUAGUAAAUAUUGAAGGGGUAUAAAAGAACAUUUAUAGCAGAUAUGUAAGGAGUAAAUAAAAUACAGCAAAUAUCCACGUACCUACCAUUCACUUUAAGAAAAAGUUAAAAUUUUCUUUUAUAAAAGGUUUAAAAGUUUUAAAAAGUUAAAAUCUUUAAAAAUCUUCUCCCUGCUCUCCUCAGAGGUAAAAGUUAUUCUGAUUGUUUUUUAUCGUUUGUCAUUCUUUUGUUUUUUUCAAGUAGUUUUAGCAGACAUAUGUAUCUUCAAGCAAUACAUUGUCCAGUUUUGUGUUUUUGAACCUUGUGUAUAUGAAAUCAAAGUAUGUCAUAUUUUAUGUUGCAGCUUUCACCGGGUUCUGUUUUUGAGAUUCAAUUAUGCUUUGUCCUGCCAAAAUCUAUGUUUCAACUGCCAUGUAUGUGGUAUUCUAUUGUAUGAAUAUGAUUAAUAUGUUAUAAUUAAAUGUUCUUGAUGAACAUUUGGAUUGU